rnacentral:misc_RNA from 1 species
UUUCCGUAGGUGAACCUGCGGAAGGAUCAUUAAUGAGUUGUCAUGGGGUUCGAUGCUGGCAGCCAAUUUUUGGAUGCAUGUGCUUGCCCUAACAAUCAUCUUCCAAACACCUGUGCACAUUUUUGAGGGAGUCUUGAGUUGGUUGCCGCUCUUGGGUGAUUUUCUCACAUUCCCUUAAAUCAUUGUACGCUAUUAACAAUGUUGAACGUGCUCUGUGCCGCAAGGCUAUUAAUAUAAUACAACUUUUAACAACGGAUCUCUUGGCUCUC